rnacentral:rRNA from 1 species
ACCUACGGGGGGCAGCAGUAGGGAAUUUUCGUCAAUGGGCGCAAGCCUGAACGAGCAAUGCCGCGUGAACGAGGAAGGUCUUCGGAUCGUAAAGUUCUGUUGAAGGGGAAAAAGAGCGGAGAGAGGAAAUGGUCUCCGAUUGAUAUUACCCUUCGAGGAAGUCACGGCUAACUACGUGCCAGCAGCCGCGGUAAUACGUAGGUGACGAGCGUUAUCCGGAAUGAUUGGGCGUAAAGGGUGCGUAGGCGGCCUGCUAAGUCUGGAGUGAAAGGUACCGGCUCAACCGGUACAGGCUCUGGAAACUG